CCUACGGGAGGCAGCAGUGAGGAAUAUUGGUCAAUGGGAGAGAUCCUGAACCAGCCAAGCCGCGUGAGGGAAGACGGCCCUAUGGGUUGUAAACCUCUUUUGUCGGAGAACAAAACCCGGGACGUGUCCCGGACUGCGUGUAUCCGAAGAAAAAGCAUCGGCUAACUCCGUGCCAGCAGCCGCGGUAAUACGGAGGAUGCGAGCGUUAUCCGGAAUGACUGGGGGUAAAGGGUGCGUAGGUGGGUUGGCAAGUUAGUAGCGUAACUCCAAGGCUCAACCUUGGAAUUACUACUAAAACUGUUGGACUUGAGUGCAGGAGGGGCAAGCGGAAUUCCUGGUGUAGCGGUGAAAUGCGUAGAUAUUAGGAGGAACACCAGUGGCGAAGGCGGGUUGCUAGACUGUAACUGACACUGAGGCACGAAAGCGUGGGGAGCAAACAGGAUUAGAUACCCCGGUAGUC
rnacentral:rRNA from 1 species